GAUGAAGAACGCAGCGAAAUGCGAUAAGUAAUGCGAAUUGCAGAAUUCCAGUGAGUCAUCGAGUCUUUGAACGCACAUUGCGCCCCCUGGUAUUCCGGGGGGCAUGCCUGUCCGAGCGUCAUUGCUGCCCUCAAGCACGGCUUGUGUGUUGGGCCUCCGUCCUCCUCCCGGGGGACGGGCCCGAAAGGCAGCGGCGGCACCGCGUCCGGUCCUCGAGCGUAUGGGGCUUCGUCACCCGCUCUUGUAGGCCCGGCCGGCGCUUGCCGACACAUCAAUCUUUUUUCCAGGUUGACCUCGGAUCAGGUAGGGAUACCCGCUGAACUUAAGCAUAUCAAUAAGCGGAGGA
rnacentral:misc_RNA from 1 species